UACGUAGGUGGCAAGCGUUUGUCCGGAAUUAUUGGGCGUAAAGGGCUCGCAGGCGGUUUCUUAAGUCUGAUGUGAAAGCCCCCGGCUCAACCGGGGAGGGUCAUUGGAAACUGGGAAACUUGAGUGCAGAAGAGGAGAGUGGAAUUCCACGUGUAGCGGUGAAAUGCGUAGAGAUGUGGAGGAACACCAGUGGCGAAGGCGGGGUCUCUGGGCAGUAACUGACGCUGAGGAGCGAAAGCCAGGGGAGCAAACGGGG
rnacentral:rRNA from 1 species